rnacentral:rRNA from 1 species
AUUGAACGCUGGCGGCAGGCCUAACACAUGCAAGUCGACCGAGCGUCGGACGCGUGAGUAAUGUAUCGGGAUCUGUCCGAUAGCGGGGGAUAACUACUGUAUACGGUAGCUAAUUCCGCCCACUAUUUCAUGAACCCACAUGGGAUUAGCUAGUAGUUGUGGUAUUGGCUCACCUUGUCGACGAUCCCUAGCUGGUCUGAGAGGAUGAUCAGCCACACUGGGACUGAGACACGGACCAGACUCCUACGGGAGGCAGCAGUGGGGAAUAUUGAACAAUGGGCGCAAGCCUGAUGCAGCCAUGCCGCGUGUAUGAAGAAGGCCAUAGGGUUGUAAAGUACUUUCAGUCGGGAGGCGUUACCGACAGAAGAAGCACCGGCUAACUCCGUGCCAGCAGCCGCGGUAAUAC